rnacentral:rRNA from 1 species
AUCCUGUCUGAAUAUGGGGGGACCAUCCUCCAAGGCUAAAUACUCCUGACUGACCGAUAGUGAACCAGUACCGUGAGGGAAAGGCGAAAAGAACCCCUGUGAGGGGAGUGAAAUAGAACCUGAAACCGUGUACGUACAAGCAGUAGGAGCACCUUCGUGGUGUGACUGCGUACCUUUUGUAUAAUGGGUCAGCGACUUAUAUUCAGUGGCAAGGUUAACCAUCUAGGGGAGCCGUAGGGAAACCGAGUCUUAACUGGGCGCCAUAGUCUCUGGAUAUAGACCCGAAACCGAGUGAUCUAGCCAUGGGCAGGUUGAAGGUUGAGUAACAUCAACUGGAGGACCGAACCGACUAAUGUUGAAAAAUUAGCGGAUGACUUGUGGCUAGGGGUGAAAGGCCAAUCAAACUCGGAGAUAGCUGGUUCUCCCCGAAAGCUAUUUAGGUAGCGCCUCGGACGAAUACUACUGGGGGUAGAGCACUGUUAAGGCUAGGGGGUCAUCCCGACUUACCAACCCUUUGCAAACUCCGAAUACCAGUAAGUACUAUCCGGGAGACACACGGCGGGUGCUAACGUCCGUCGUGGAGAGGGAAACAACCCAGACCGCCAGCUAAGGUCCCAAAUUACAGCUAAGUGGGAAACGAUGUGGGAAGGCUUAGACAGCUAGGAUGUUGGCUUAGAAGCAGCCAUCAUUUAAAGAAAGCGUAAUAGCUCACUAGUCGAGUCGGCCUGCGCGGAAGAUGUAACGGGGCUAAGUUGUAAACCGAAGCUGCGGCAAUGUUCUUUGAACAUUGGGUAGGGGAGCGUUCUGUAAGCCGUUGAAGGUGUGUUGUAAAGCAUGCUGGAGGUAUCAGAAGUGCGAAUGCUGACAUGAGUAACGACAAGGGGGGUGAAAAACCUCCCCGCCGGAAGACCAAGGGUUCCUGUCCAACGUUAAUCGGGGCAGGGUAAGUCGACCCCUAAGGCGAGGCCGAAAGGCGUAGUCGAUGGGAAACGGGUUAAUAUUCCCGUACUUCUUACAAUUGCGAUGGGGGGACGGAGAAGGCUAGGUGGGCCUGGCGACGGUUGUCCAGGUUCAAGUGCGUAGGCU